CCUGGUUGAUCCUGCCAGUAGUCAUAUGCUUGUCUCAAAGAUUAAGCCAUGCAUGUGUAAGCACACACUGUUUUAAAAGUGAAGCCGCGAAUGGCUCAUUACAACAGCCACAGUUUAUUAGAACUUACAAUCAUGGAUAACUGUGGUAAUUCUAGAGCUAAUACACGCACAAAAACUUCAACUGAAUUGGUUGAAGUGCUUUUAUCAGAACAAAAACCGAACGGCGUUUGACGAAUGUUGAACGUCGAAACUGUUUGGUGAAUCUGAAUAACUAUUUCUGAUCGCAUGGUCUAGCACCGGCGACAUCACUUUCAAGUGUCUGCCUUAUCAACCUUCGAUGGUAGUCUAUGCGACUACCAUGGUGAUAACGGGUAACGGAGAAUCAGGGUUCGACUCCGGAGAGGGAGCCUGAGAAACGGCUACCACAUCCAAGGAAGGCAGCAGGCGCGCAAAUUACCCACUCCCAGCUUGGGGAGGUAGUGACGAAAAAUAACGAGACGAUUCUCGUUUGAGAAACGUUAUCGAAAUGAGUACGCUUUACACACGCUAACGAGUAGCAAUUGGAGGGCAAGUCUGGUGCCAGCAGCCGCGGUAAUUCCAGCUCCAAUAGCGUAUAUUAAAGUUGCUGCGGUUAAAACGCUCGUAGUUGAAUUGUGGUCUUAGACAACAGUCCCCCUACAAAGGUGUGGCACGGUUGCUCGAGAUCUUCAUUCGUGGUUGCUGUUGUUGCUCUUCAUUGAGUGUCAAUGGUGCCUCGAGAUUUUACUUUGAAAAAAUUAGAGUGCUCAAAGCAGGUUGUGAUGCCUGAAUAAUGGUGCAUGGAAUAAUAGAAUACGAUCUCGGUUCUAUUUUGUUGGUUUUCGAACCGGAGAUAAUGAUUGAAAGGAACAGACGGGGGCAUUCGUAUUGCUGCGUUAGAGGUGAAAUUCUUGGAUCGCAGCAAGAUGAACAAUUGCGAAAGCAUUUGCCAAGAAUGUUUUCAUUAAUCAAGAACGAAAGUUAGAGGUUCGAAGGCGAUCAGAUACCGCCCUAGUUCUAACGGUAAACUAUGCCAACCAGCGAUUCGCCGAAGUUCAUUUAAGACUCGGCGAGCAGCUUCCGGGAAACCAAAGUGUUUCGGUUCCGGGGGAAGUAUGGUUGCAAAGCUGAAACUUAAAGGAAUUGACGGAAGGGCACCACCAGGAGUGGAGCCUGCGGCUUAAUUUGACUCAACACGGGAAAACUCACCCGGCCCGGACACUGGAAGGAUUGACAGAUUGACAGCUCUUUCUUGAUUCAGUGGGUAGUGGUGCAUGGCCGUUCUUA
rnacentral:rRNA from 1 species